rnacentral:misc_RNA from 1 species
AAUGAAGAACGUAGCGAAAUGCGAUAAGUAAUGUGAAUUGCAGAAUUCAGUGAAUCAUCGAAUCUUUGAACGCACAUUGCGCCCCCUGGUAUUCCGGGGGGCAUGCCUGUCCGAGCGUCAUUACAACCCUCAAGCUCAGCUUGGUGUUGGGCCCCGCCGCCCCGGCGGGCCCUAAAGUCAGUGGCGGUGCCGUCCGGCUCCGAGCGUAGUAAUUCUUCUCGCUCUGGAGGUCCGGUCGUGUGCUCGCCAGCAACCCCCAAUUUUUUUCAGGUUGACCUCGGAUCAGGUAGGGAUACCCGCUGAACUUAAGCAUAUCAAUAAGCGGAGGA